rnacentral:lncRNA from 1 species
CUUUCUUUCUUUCUUUUUUUUUUCUUUUCUUUUUUUGCUUUUUAGGGUUGCACCCGAGGUAUAUGGGAGUUCCCAGGCUAGGGGUCAAAUCGGAGCUGCAGCUGCCAACCACAGCCACAGCCACAACCACAGCAAUGCCAGAUCCGAGCCGCAUCUGUGACCUACAUCACAGCUCAUGAAAACGCCAGAUCCUUAAUCCACUGAGUGAGGUUAGGGAUUCAACCCACAUCCUCAUGGAUGCUAGUCAGGUUUGUAAACCACUGAGCCACAGUGGCAACUCCCUGCUCAUUGUUUUCUAAAAGAAGGUGGGAGGAAAACCAACAAAAAAGUAAGCCUGUGAGUUUUACUCUUCAGUGUCACUUCUGCAUUCUGGUGAGAUAUAACAAUUCUGAUAUUAUUAUGGAAACAGUAAUCUGUGACUUAAUUUAAUGUACAGUACUCUUUUUAUCUCUUAUUAUUAGGCUCGAGAGUUGGCCGUCUUUUAAUCAGAUGUCACAGUUGGCCAUCUUUUAAUCAGAGGUCUAGAAUUAGAAUCAAUCAAAUAAAGACCUAAUAGUUCUUACAAUUAAUUAUUUUAUGGGAAACAUUGAUAUGAUUUCCAGUUUACAACUUUUCAAAAGUUGUAAGCAUCAUUUUGUGGUGGGGUUUAGAAUAGAUAAUUCCAGAACAUAUAUGCACUUUUUAAUGAGUGGAAAGAAAAUUAAAACAAGAGCCUAAAAAUAGCAUAUUUGAGGAGUUCCUAUUGUGGUUCGGGGUAACAAACCUGACUAGUAUACAUGAGGAUGUGUGUUUGAUCCCUGGCCUCACUCAGUGAGGAUCCAGCAUUGCUAUGACUGUAUGGUGAGCUUAUUUGGAUGGGCUAAAGAAGCAAAACAUGAGGAAAGAGGAGGAAAAAAAUAACUUUUGUGGGGGGAAGAAAAGUUAUUUCUACUGUCUUUAGUAAAUCAGGAUAAAUAGAAUCUCCAUUUGUUCUCAAUAGAGCUAAUUGAAAGUUCUCCUGGGAAUGUAUACAUAUUGGCUAUUCUUGAAAGAAAUGGGUUGUAAAAAAAAUUUUUCAGAGUUUCAAGGUCUUUGUCAUUUGAAUCAUGGAACAGGUUUUCUACACCACAUUCCAAAUUGUAGCUCUAGAUGACCACAUGAGCUAAAUUGAUCUGGUUCAGACCUCCCUUGAGCUAUGAGUAGAAUGGCUCUUAAGUCCAGUUUCAUGGUAAGAGAGUCAUGUAAGCAAAUAGAGAAGAAUCUAAAAAUGCCACACACACCUCUUUAAUUGUAGAGCAAAUGGAGAACCAGCCCAACCAAUGGAUUCUUGAACGUAAUGCCGAUUUUGUGUCCUCCUGUGUUCUCUUGCAUGAAGCUUGAGUGGGAAUCUUCUUUAUAUUUAUUCCAAAGUUUGCUUGACAUGGAGGUGGGAGGUGAAGGGCCAUUUGUUCACAUCUGUGUAAUGCCAGCCAGGUAGCAAAGGGGAAAGUGUGUGCUCUCUCAUUCAGGGAGAUAAAUCCUGCUGUUUCACACUGUGUGGGAAAUAGCCGUGCGUCCUGAAGCCAAUGGAAGAAAGCAGUAGGGGUGGGCACUGGGGCCUCAGCCCAAACACCACAGAGAAGAUCAUUCUGUGCUAAUGUAUCUACAUCAGGAAGCAUAGUUCACUGACUGAAUUUGAGGCCAUUCUCAGCUGUGCUUAGAGGAGAAAGUACAUGGGGAAAGGAGAAGGCCAAAAUAUCAGGAGCCUCAGGAAGACACAAGGCAAAGGGUAUGAUUUUAUAAUCCAAGAAAUGCUGAGAAAUAGCUUCCCAUGUCCCAAAGGAAAAGAAAGGCUAGGCUCUCCAGGGGGCACAAAUAUAAAAACGCUUAUGAUGGCUCUUCUUGUGUGGAGCACUCUUUCCUGCCCAACUAGAUUACUGUCUCAGAGUCUUUCUCCAAGUGGUGCUCCAGCAGGCACCGCCAACUGGCUGCAAUUGACCUCAGACCUAUUUGAAACCCUUGGUUUAUGCUACAGGAUAGUAGCCUUUCUUCUUUGGAGAAAGCUUUGUGCUGGAUCCAGGUGGAAUAAGAACAGUAAUGGCUUGUUUCUUUCUGAAAACUCUGCCCAGUGACUUGGCAACAUGGGUACGGUACAAGUUGGACAGUGAUUUUCUGCGGAUAGAUCACCUUAGAUCAAUGGACAGAGCAUAUCCUCUUGCCAGUCUUAUUCACUAGAAUUCCAAGUGCUCAGCACAGUUGACAAUGUAAGUCAAUGCUCAUUAAACAUUAGCUGGGUGAAUAAAUGAAUGAAAAAAAUGGCUAAAGUUAAAUCAUAGAGCGUUAAGUCCCAUUUUGUAAUUAUAGAGUGAGUUUAAUAAGAGGAUUUUUUCCAUUUUGAAUUUUUCUCCUCCAUAUUUUUAAUGAAAAUAUUGACACCUGCUACUAUUUAAUCUCUCAGUGCUACUGAACUAGUAGCAAACAGAUGCUUUCCUUGUUUUGGAAAUGUGAUGUAAAAGAAAACAAUUCUAUCUGUAUUUUUUAAGAUACAGAAAACCUCACACAAAUACUAUGGGCAUAUUUUUCCACUAGUAAAAUGCAUGGAAUUCUGUGUCAACAAUUCAUGUUGCCCCAUAAAGAACAUGGUUUUCUGGUGUUCCACGAUACAGAUAUGGCUUAAACCCCUCCCCCAAACCCGACAUUUUAGAAUGAUGGUUCUUAAACCAUAACGUUUAUCAGAAUUACCUAGAGGACUUGUUAAAACCCAAAUUGCUGGGUCCCUCCCACCUUCAGGGUUUCUGAUUCAACAGAUUUGCAUUUCUCACAAGUUUCCAGGUGACACGAUUGGUCCAUAGACCAUACUUUGAGAAUAACUGAUUCAGGGUAUAAUUCCUUGAGAUAAAGAUACUUUUGUUAUUGUUUUGGCUGAUCCUUCCUAAAUACCUUCUGAAAGUUGGUGGACAUUAUAAAAGCCAUUUAUACAUACAUAGCUCACGUAAACGUUAUGAAACUCUGUGAGGUGUAUACUAUUUAUUAUCUCCCUUUUGAGGUAGAGAGAAUUUGAAUAGUAGGUGAGAAGAGCCAGCACUUGAACCCAGUAGUCUGGCUUCAGACUCUUAACUACAGAAUUAACUAACUUUGAAGAAAAGGGCUAACUGAAAUAGAUCCUCCCAACCAUGUGGUUUUGAUCGAGGGUUAGGAAAAUAACAGAAAAUUUCCAAAGGUCUGUCUAACUGUUGAGAAGGGAAGCAAGCGGGCAGCAGGCUCUCUAGGCUGGGGUUGCUCUGGACCUACUCGCAAACUGCCUCAUUGUCACCGCUUAAGGCAGGAUGAAAUCUUCCUUCCUCCGAGGGAAGAGCAAAUGAUUGGAAACAACCUGGGUAUUCUUUCAAAAGAGACUGAUAAAGUAACUGAAUAAGGACACAUCCAUUCAAUAGAAUGGAACACAGCUGCAAAAGAAAGAAGGAGGAAACUAUCUAUGUACCAAUAUGUAAAUAGCGCCAAGAUGUAUAGUUAAAUAUUUCUGAAAGGAGAAAAAUAAAAAAAUAAUACAUUUGUGUUUGCUUACAUGUAGGUAAAGUAUCCUAGAAGAACACAAUGAAGCAACAAUAGUUACCAUUUAGAAGGGAGAUGACAGGAUGACCAGAGAUAGGAAUAGGAGGGAGAUUUCUCUCUCUCUCUCUUUUUUUAAUUAAAUAAUUAACAUUUAAAAGCUGGCGAUAGAGUCUCUGUGAUUUUCCUUAUUUGAUUACCCGGAGAAAACUUUUCCUUUGGGCUCACUUCCCAUUCAUGCCCCCAACCCCAUGGGUUCUUAUAUUUACCCAAUUGGAAAUCCACUACAGCCUGAUGGGCCCACUUUUAGGACCCAUGGGGUAGGAGGAUGAUGUUAGCUUAUGAAACACAGCUUGGUGUGUGUUUCACUGACUUUGGAAUUGUUUUUUGUUGUAUGUAAACUAAAUAUAGACAAUUUGGAAGGGAAAAAGUUCUUAUUUCUUAUUUCUUAUUUCUCUAAGGAAACAGAGGCUACUUUAAUAAUAGUGGUGCCUCAUUUAUAUAGCACUUUAUAGUUUAUAAAAUCCUUUCACAUGCAUUUGGCCAUUUAUACCUCACAACAGCUCUGAGAGGUAGCUAUUAUAGUUCCCAUUUAAUAGAUGAGGAAACCGAGGCUCAAAGAGUCCCAGUAACUUGUCCAAGGUGAGAAAGCUAUUAAAUAAUGGAGCCAGGACUAGUACCCAAGUAUUCUGACUCAAGGCUUGUGAAUUUUUCCCUUGCCUUUUUGUAGUUGUAAAAAGGAAAAAUUAAUAUGCUUUUUUUAAAAAAAGACUGAAAUACCCAUAAUCCCAUACUUUCAACAAAAACAUCAUUAAAUUUACAUAUUAUCUUCCAGGGCUUGUCCAUGUGCCUACUACGAUUCUCUAACUACAAUCAUAAUGUAUGUGCAAUUACGUAUUCUGUUUUUCCCCCCCACUUGGCACUGCUAUCCUGAAGCAUUUUCCGAGUUGCAACAUAAUCUUCAUAAUUAGCAAAUUAAUAGCUUUAUAUUUCAUCAAGAGCCAUCCUAAUGCAAUCUGCUGCUCUUUAACAGGGAUUCGUUUGAUUCAUUCAUUUAUUCAUUCACUCAAUGAAUAAUUACUAACCCUCUACUCUGUGCCAUGUCCUGUGCCAAAGGCUAGGGCCAUGUUAGUGAUAGGCACACACAGGAGAGGAAGCAGCAGGGCAGGGAGGAAGGCAAAGCUUCCUAGAGGAAGUACAUGCUGAGACAUUUAGAUAAUCGUCGAAGUUUUUAAUAAAAAAAAAAACCCGCAGCUGUAAAUACCUUUGUUGCUCAUAGUUCUUUCAUUUUAAAAUGUUUAAAAAAAAAAUGGGUGAAUCCCAUUUUUAUUUUACUUGUGUUCCUCCACCUUAAUACCAAAAAUACAUGAGUGUACACCAUGACCUCACCAACACUGAGUAUUUUUAUUGAAAAACAGUAUUUGUUAAUUUUACAGUUGGAGAAUGGUGCUCCAUUGUUGCCUUAAUUUGCAUUUCUUUGAUUAAUUGCAAUGUUAAUAUUUUUUCCAUGGGCUUAUUUAUUAAUUGUAUUUCUUUUUGUAUGAAUUGUCUGUGCUUUGUCUUUUGCCUAAUUAUUUAUUAGCAUCUUAUUAUUUUCUUGUCUAUGUGUGGGAAGUCUUUAUGUAAUUUAUUUUGACAUUGUCUAAAAAUUGAUUUGAGUAGCCUUUUUAUAUUGUCAAGAUGAUAUAAAAAUGACCAUUUGCCAUUUUUACUGAAAUUGUUUUUCUCAAUCUAUUUGCCUUUUUGUUUUAAUGAUUAUAGUUUAAUUUUUUUUUAAAGGAAAACUGUCUUUGUAUAGGGACAUUUCAUCUAUUUUCAAACUUAUGAAAUUAUUAAUCCUCUUAAUAUUUGAUUGUUAGAUUUUCUUUUGUACUAGUUUUUGUUUUUAUUUUCUUCCUUAAUUCCUAACAGCAUUUGGAACUCAUUUGGGUUUUUGUGUGAGGUAUAAUCUUAAGUUUAUUUCUCUCCUCCAAUUUCUAAUGAGACAGCACAAUGCCCUCUACGAAAAUACUUUAAAUUUCCAUAUCUUGUAUUAUACCCUUAUACAUAAACUUCCUAUUUAGAUCCAUUACUGUGUAUGUCUAGUUUUCAGUUAGAACUAGUAAGUAUACUCUUUGGAUUUUUGCCUUAUACUAUAUUUUACGAUCUGAUAAAAAUAGCCUUUUGUCCUUGCUCCUUUCUUUCAAAAUAUUACUUAUAGUUUUACCUAUUUGUUUUUUACAGAUGGAUUUUAAUUUAAUUUUGGAGAAUACUAGUAGAAAUCUUACCGGGAUUCCAUUAAAAUAUAUUUUGUAUGUAUGAAGAAUCAGUCAUCCUUUAUAUAUCUAAUUUUUCUAUUUAGAGGCAGAAAUAUUUAUCCUUCUACCAAACCAAUUAAUUAGUUAUUAUUGGUAUAUAGAAAUAUUAGUGAUUUUUGCAUGUUUAUCAUGCACAGGAUAGAUAAAAGAUUAUCUUUGAAUGUAAAUAGAUUUUUACUGAAUGUCUUUGGCUUUUCUAAGUAUAUAGUCACAUACUCUUUGCAAGUAACCCCAGGCAGGUCUGGGGUUCAGAGCUGAGUAAUGCACUAACCCACUCAGUUACACUGAGAAAGUUGCUUACUUCUCAGGGCUUCAUGGAAUCAGCUUAGUUGGUUUCUAAGAAUUUGACCAACUCUAAAAUACUCUGAAAUGGAAUUACAUUGAGAAAGUUAUCUGGCAGGCAUCAAUUUGGGCAGAGAUUUUAGAUAAGAGAAAUUGAGUGAGACUUGCCAGAGGAAGGAAGCAUGUGAGAUUCACUGAGAAGAGCAGUGGUUAUCACUGUGUACAGAGAAUUGCUGUCUACAUAUGUAUCCAGUGCUCCUUUUGUUAUACUGUGUGCAAAAUGCUCACUGCCUGUUUUAAGGUUCCUUGACAUGAAUCUGCUUAAAGAACUUUCUUGUCUAAAUGGCUUCAUUUGAAAAGGAUGCAAAGGCUAUUGUCAUUGUGGUGGUGUUUUUUUCUUUUGUAGUUGGUUGCAAUAUUCAUUGACCUACUGCUGGAGUUCUGAGUGAUGAGCCCAGUCAGAGGUAAUGAUGGUAAAAGGGAAGAGGGAACAAACUAAUGCAAAAAGAGGAAAAGAUUUUUAAAAUUUGGUUGAGAAAUAUAAGUAUAAAUAUAAAUAUGAAUGUAUACACACACACCACAUCCUCUCUAUCCAUUUGUCUGUCGAUGGGUACUUGGGUUGCUUCCAUGUCUUGGCUUUUGUAAAUAGUGUUGCUGUGAACAUUGGGGAAUACGUAUCUUUUUAAAUUAGAGUUUUCAUCUUUUCCAGAUAUAUGCCUAGUAGUGGGAUUACAGACUCUUUUUUAAGGAAACUCUGUGCUGUUUUCCAUAGUGGUUGUACCAGUUUACAUUCUUACAAACAGUGUAGGAGGGUUCCUUUUUCUCCACACCCUCUCCAGCAUUUGUUAUUUGUAGAUGUUUUCAGAGAUGACCAUUCUGACUGGUAUGAGGUGAUACAUCAUUAUAGUUUUGAUCUGCAUUUCUCUAAUAAUUAGCCAUGCUGAGCAUCUUUUCAUGUGCCUCUUGUCUAUCAGGUUGCCUAANUUUUUUUUUUUUUUGUCUUUUUGUCUUUUCUAGGGCUGCACCUGCAGCAUAUGGAGGUUCCCAGGCUAGGGGUCUAAUUGGAGCUGUAACCACCACCAGCCUACACCAGGGCCACAAUAACGUGGGAUCUGAGUCGCGUCUGUGAUCUACACCACAGCUCUCGGCAACACUGGAUCCUUAACCCACUGAGCGAGGCCAGGGAUCAAACCCGAAACCUCAGGGUUCCUAAUCGGAUUCGUUAACCACUGAGCCACGACGGGAACGCCAGGUUGCCUAAAUUAUUCUGGCUUUGCCACUGACCAGUUAUGUGAUCUCUGUUCCUCAGUUUCCCUGUUAGACUCAAAUAUUUAAGCCGGAGGCCUAGUUUAAAAGGCUGUAAGCCCUUGUGAAGGUGGCCCAGGAUCCUGAAGGAAGAGAACGCCAGGAACACAGAUGACCACACACCUGUGGAGAAUAUUGAUAGGACUUACUUCUUAGGAUUGUUGUGAAGAGUAAAUAAGACAAUAAUGUAAAGAUCUUAGAAACUCUCCCUGGCAUAUAAUAAACUGUUAAAUUUCCCAACAAUAACUUUUUUCUAAAAAACGUGAAAGAUAUUUAAAUCAGAUUAGCCAUUGAAACACGUUCCCAAUUAUUAUCCCUCCCAACCUUCUCAACUUAGGUCUUUCUGGGGUGGCUGUUUGGGUGCCCUGUUGAUGUAAAGUUGAAGUUAAGCAUUUUACUAUUAGAAUUCAAGGAACCGCAUGCCCUGAGUUCUUUCAUAUUUAUGAGGCUUAAUUUCAGUUUAUGUUUCAACUUGCACAUUACAUUCUCUAGCUGAUUUAUUGCUACUUGUAAUAAUACUAUUUAUAACACUUUUCAUCCUUAGUUCUCUUAAGUUUUACAUACCUCAGUUCCUUCCAGCUCACAGGUAAGUAGGUGCUAAGUAGCAGAAUCUCUCGGUUUUUUCAAGGAAAAAAAAAA